AGUGAACGCUGGCGGUAGGCCUAACACAUGCAAGUCGAACGGCAGCACAGUAAGAGCGUGCUCUUACGGGUGGCGAGUGGCGGACGGGUGAGGAGUACAUCGGAAUCUACUUUUUCGUGGGGGUUCAGGUAGGGAAGCUUACUCUAAUACCGCAUACGACCUACGGGUGAAAGCAGGGGAUCUUCGCACCUUGCGCGAGUGAAUUAGCGGAUGUCGGAUUAGCUAGUUGGCGGGGUAAAGGCCGACCAAGGCAACGAUCCGGUGCCGGUUUGUGAGGGUGAUCAGCCACCUGGGAGCGGGGACAGGGACCAUGGUCCUAAGGGAGGCAGCAGUGGGGAAUAUUGGACAAUGGUGGCAAGCCUGAUCCAGUCAUACCGCGCAUGAUACGAAGGCCUUGUGGUCGUGAAGCCCGUUUUUGGGGAAUGAAAAGCAGUAGGUUAAUACCACGCUGGUGUGACGGUACCCGAUUAAUAAGCACCGGCUAACUUCGUG
rnacentral:rRNA from 1 species